rnacentral:rRNA from 1 species
GAGGAUAAUAAAGCCCCCUUUAAG